rnacentral:rRNA from 1 species
AGAACGAACGCUGGCGGCGUGGAUAAGACAUGCAAGUCGAACGAGCUUAGUUUUGUAGCAAUACAGAGCUGAGCUAGUGGCGAACGGGUGCGUAACACGUGAGCAAUCUGCCUUAAAGUGGGGGAUAGCUCGCCGAAAGGCGAAUUAAUACCGCAUGUGGUUGUAAAACCAAAGCCGGGGCAACCUGGCGCUUUUAGAGGAGCUCGCGGCCUAUCAGCUUGUUGGUGAGGUAACGGCUCACCAAGGCUUCGACGGGUAGCUGGUCUGAGAGGACGACCAGCCACACUGGAACUGAGACACGGUCCAGACUCCUACGGGAGGCAGCAGUGGGGAAUCUUGCACAAUGGACGAAAGUCUGAUGCAGCAACGCCGCGUGGGGGAUGAAGCUUCUCGGAGUGUAAACCCCUUUCGACCCGGAAGAAUGCCCGCAAGGGUAUGACGGUACGGGUAUAAGAAGCCCCGGCUAACUACGUGCCAGCAGCCGCGGU